rnacentral:lncRNA from 1 species
CGAUAACAAACUCAACUUCCCGGUCUGGUGGCAGUCCCGGUAAUUCCGCCGGAAACACAUCCGGAAACUCGCACGCUACUCGAAUAUCUCCCAACUCUGGGUACUCCCUUCGAGCAUCCACCAUGUUUGCCAAAUAGGCCUUACACCCUCCUUUGAUCAUUCUCUUCGCCUUCACAGAUGAUAUAGUCGCCGCGAAGCGCCUACUUUUGCACGCUUGGUAGACUAACUCUUCUUGAUUA